UACAGAGUCUCAAGCGUUUGUUCGGAUUCAUUGGGCGUAAAGGGUGCGUAGGUGGCGUCGUAAGUCAGGUGUGAAAUUUCGGAGCUUAACUUCGAAACUGCAUUUGAUACUGCGGUGCUUGAGGACUGGAGAGGAGACUGGAAUUUACGGUGUAGCAGUGAAAUGCGUAGAGAUCGUAAGGAAGACCAGUGGCGAAGGCGGG
rnacentral:rRNA from 1 species